GAGAGAGCCGCUGGGAGGCGGGACAAAGGGAGUGCGCAUCCGCCCGGGGCGCGUUCUCAUGUCCCGGCCCUGCCUCGGCGUCUAGUAAUGGCGGAGGUGCUUUUAAUUUUUUUGAGGGCUGAGGAGCUCACUUCCGAAGGCGGUAACUGCAGCCUCCCUGCCCUUCCAAGGUGGUGCUGGAAGGACCUCUAGUCUUUCCUCGCGUUAGUCGUUACCUCUCGACCCUCAUCCCACUCCACGGCGGGACUUUGACAGGGUCGUGCAGUUAACCCCGGGGCCGCAAAGAGGGGAGUCAUUCCUUUCGUGCAUCCUGACACUCACACACAGGUUCUUCCCGGAGACGAAUGCUGCCAGUGCUGGUUACCCGCUCGGAUGCAUAGUUUCCAGUUUACAUUUAGAACCGACCUACCAGACUCCCUCCUCUACUCUUCCCACCACCACGACCCGCCUGCCCCGUUCCCCAGGCCUGAGAAGUUGCUGGCUGCGUGUUUCUGAUCAGUGUAACAGACAAAGCAACUCUCACAAAAGGAAGCCUUCAUCUUUUUAAAGUGGGGGUGAAAGCAGCAGGAGUGCAUAAAAUGGCAUAUUUCCUUUCUGAAGACAAAGGAGACAAAAAGUAGAGACGGGGUUUCACCAUGUUGGCCAGGAUGGUCUUGAUCUCUUGAACUUGUGGUCUGCCCACCUCAGCCUCCCAAAGGUAAUUAUUUUUAAAUAAUAUGUUGAGAUAACCUAAAAGAAAGUCACAUUUCAUAUUAAUUUUUCAUAUAUGUCUGGACUCUCUAUUCUGUUCCAUUUGUUUUUGUUUGUUUGUUUGUUUGUUUUUGAGAUGGUGUCUCACUCUGUCGCCCAGGCUGGAGUGCAGUGGCACGAUCUCGGCUCACUGCAACCUCUGCCUCGCAGGUUCAAGCUUUUCUCCUGCCUCAGCCUCCCUAGUAGCUGGGACUACAGGCAUGUACCACCAGGCCUGGCUAAUUUUUGUAUUUUGAGUAGAGACAGGGUUUCACCGUGUUGGCCAGGCUGGUCUCGAACUCUGACCACAAGUGAUCUGCCUACCUCAGCCUCCAAAAGUGCUGGGAUUACAGGCGUGAGCCACCGCGCCCAGCCUGCUCCAUUUCUUAAAUGGAAUUUGUGAAUUAUUUGAGGACAACCUUCUAAAAAUGAAAUGAAAACAGUAUUUAUGAUCUGUAAAUUUUUUUUU